UGCCAGCAGCCGCGGUAAUACGAAGGGGGCUAGCGUUGUUCGGAAUCACUGGGCGUAAAGCGCACGUAGGCGGAUUUGUAAGUUAGGGGUGAAAUCCCGGGGCUCAACCUCGGAACUGCCUUUGAUACUACAAGUCUAGAGUCCGAGAGAGGUGAGUGGAAUUCCUAGUGUAGAGGUGAAAUUCGUAGAUAUUCGGAAGAACACCAGUGGCGAAGGCGACUCACUGGCACAUUUCUGACGCUGAGGCGCGAAAGCGUGGGGAGCAAACAGGAUUAGAUA
rnacentral:rRNA from 1 species